rnacentral:rRNA from 1 species
GAACGGCAGCGGGGGAUAGCUUGCUAUCCCGCCGGCGAGUGGCGGACGGGUGAGUAAUGCCUGGGGAGCUGCCCAAUCGAGGGGGAUACCAGUUGGAAACGACUGCUAAUACCGCAUACGCCUCGAGGGGGAAAGAUGGGGAUCUUCGGACCUAUCGCGAUUGGAUGCACCCAGGUGGGAUUAGCUAGUUGGUGAGGUAACGGCUCACCAAGGCGACGAUCUCUAGCUGGUCUGAGAGGAUGACCAGCCACACUGGAACUGAGACACGGUCCAGACUCCUACGGGAGGCAGCAGUGGGGAAUAUUGCACAAUGGGGGAAACCCUGAUGCAGCCAUGCCGCGUGUGUGAAGAAGGCCUUCGGGUUGUAAAGCACUUUCAGUGGGGAGGAAAGGGGUAAUGCUAAUACCAUUGCCCUGUGACGUUACCCACAGAAGAAGCACCGGCUAACUCCGUG